CCUACGGGAGACUGCAGUGAGGAAUAUUGGUCAAUGGGCGCGAGCCUGAACCAGCCAAGUCGCGUGAGGGAAGACGGUCCUAUGGAUUGUAAACCUCUUUUGUCGGGGAGCAAAAGACGCCACGUGUGGCGUUCUGAGAGUACCUGAAGAAAAAGCAUCGGCUAACUCCGUGCCAGCAGCCGCGGUAAUACGGAGGAUGCGAGCGUUAUCCGGAUUUAUUGGGUUUAAAGGGUGGGUAGGCGGAAGAUCAAGUCAGCGGUAAAAUUGAGAGGCUCAACCUCUUCGAGCCGUUGAAACUGGUUUUCUUGAGUGAAUGUGAGGUAUGCGGAAUGCGUGGUGUAGCGGUGAAAUGCAUAGAUAUCACGCAGAACUCCGAUUGCGAAGGCAGCAUACCAACGCUCAACUGACGCUCAUGCACGAAAGUGUGGGUAUCGAACAGGAUUAGAUACCCCUGUAGUC
rnacentral:rRNA from 1 species